rnacentral:rRNA from 1 species
UUUAAGGGGAAGGAGCUUGCGUCACAUUAGUUAGUUGGUGGGGUAAAGGCCUACCAAGACUAUGAUGUGUAGCCGGGCUGAGAGGUUGAACGGCCACAUUGGGACUGAGACACGGCCCAAACUCCUACGGGAGGCAGCAGUAGGGAAUUUUCGGCAAUGGAGGAAACUCUGACCGAGCAACGCCGCGUGAACGAUGAAGUAUUUCGGUACGUAAAGUUCUUUUAUUAGGGAAGAAUAAAUGAUGGAAAAAUCAUUCUGACGGUACCUAAUGAAUAAGCCCCGGCUAACUAUGUGCCAGCAGCCGCGGUAAUACAUAGGGGGCAAGCGUUAUCCGGAAUUAUUGGGCGUAAAGGGUGCGUAGGCGGUUAAAUAAGUUUAUGGUCUAAGUGCAAUGCUCAACAUUGUGAUGCUAUAAAAACUGUUUAGCUAGAGUAAGAUAGAGGCAAGUGGAAUUCCAUGUGUAGUGGUAAAAUGCGUAAAUAUAUGGAGGAACACCAGUAGCGAAGGCGGCUUGCUGGGUCUUUACUGACGCUGAGGCACGAAAGCGUGGGGAGCAAACAGGAUUAGAUACCCUGGUAGUCCACGCCGUAAACGAUGAGUACUAAACGUUGGGUAAAACCAGUGUUGAAGUUAACACAUUAAGUACUCCGCCUGAGUAGUACGUACGCAAGUAUGAAACUUAAAGGAAUUGACGGGACUCCGCACAAGCGGUGGAUCAUGUUGUUUAAUUCGAAGGUACCCGAAAAACCUCACCAGGUCUUGACAUGCUUCUGCAAAGCUGUAGAAACACAGUGGAGGUUAUCAGUUGCACAGGUGGUGCAUGGUUGUCGUCAGCUCGUGUCGUGAGAUGUUGGGUUAAGUCCCGCAACGAGCGCAACCCUUAUUGUUAGUUACCAGCACGUAAUGGUGGGGACUUUAGCAAGACUGCCAGUGAUAAAUUGGAGGAAGGUGGGGACGACGUCAAAUCAUCAUGCCCCUUAUGACCUGGGCUACAAACGUGAUACAAUGGCUGUUACAAAGGGUAGCUGAAGCGCAAGUUUUUGGCGAAUCUCAAAAAAACAGUCUCAGUUCGGAUUGAAGUCUGCAACUCGACUCAUGAAGGUGGGAAU